UACGUAGGGGGCAAGCGUUGUCCGGAAUUAUUGGGCGUAAAGAGCGCGUAGGCGGCGGAGUAAGUUGGGUGUGAAAUCCCGGGGCUUAACCUCGGAAUGGCAUUCAAUACUGCUUCGCUUGAGUACUGGAGAGGAGGCUGGAAUUUACGGUGUAGCAGUGAAAUGCGUAGAUAUCGUAAGGAAGGCCGGUGGCGAAAGCGAGCCUCUGGACAGUUACUGACGCUGAUGCACGAAGGCCAGGGGAGCAAACGGG
rnacentral:rRNA from 1 species